CCUACGGGCUGCACCAGUGGGGAAUAUUACACAAUGGGCGCAAGCCUGAUGCAGCCAUGCCGCGUGUAUGAAGAAGGCCUUCGGGUUGUAAUGUACUUUCAACGGGGAGGAAGGUGUUGUGGUUAAUAACCGCAGCAAUUGACGUUACCCGCAGAAGAAGCACCGGCCAACUCCGUGCCAGCAGCCGCGGUAAUACGGAGGGUGCAAGCGUUAAUCGGAAUUACUGGGCGUAAAGCGCACGCAGGCGGUCUGUCAAGUCGGAUGUGAAAUCCCCGGGCUCAACCUGGGAACUGCAUCCGAAACUGGCAGGCUAGAGUCUUGUAGAGGGGGGUAGAAUUCCAGGUGUAGCGGUGAAAUGCGUAGAGAUCUGGAGGAAUACCGGUGGCGAAGGCGGCCCCCUGGACAAAGACUGACGCUCAGGUGCGAAAGCGUGGGGAGCAAACAGGAUUAGAUACCCUAGUAGUC
rnacentral:rRNA from 1 species